GACGAACGCUGGCGGCGUGCCUAACACAUGCAAGUCGAACGGAAAGGCCAUGCUUUUGUGGGGUGCUCGAGUGGGGAACGCGGGAGUAACACGUGAGUAACAUGCACUUGACUUUGGGAUAACUCCAGGAAACUGGGGCUAAUACCGGGUAGGAGCUACUGCUGCACGGGGGGGGUUGGAAAGUGACGGCGGUAUUGGAUGGACUAGCGGCUUAUCAGCUUGUUGGUGGGGUAGUGGCUUACCAAGGCUAUGACGGGUAGCCCGCCUGAGAGGGUGACCGGCCACAUGGCGACUGAGAUACGGCCCAGUCGCCUACGGGACGCAGCAGGGGAGAAUAUUGCACAAUGGGCGGAAGCCUGAUACAGCAACGCCGCGUGCGGGAUGCCGUCCUUCGAGGGGUAAACCGCUUUCGCCGGUGACGAAGCGUGAGUGACGGUAACUGGUAAAGAAGCACCGGCUAACUACGUG
rnacentral:rRNA from 1 species